GAUCCCGUGGGGCUGUGGAGCAGCCGCUUUUUAUGCCCAUGCAACUGUGCAGAGUCCUCAGAUAACACAUCCCAAAGCCUGUCAGAGCCAGAGGCACAAGGCCCCACUUAUACUUGGGCAAAGAGAGGCCAGGGGUCUUGCCCAAGUCACUGGCAAAGCCGCAGCUCAGACCCCGGCGUCGGUUUCCAGGCCCCUCCUCUCUGCUCCGCUCCUCUCCAGGCCCCUCCUCUCUGCUCCGCUCCUCUCCAGGCCCCUCCCAGUAGAUACGUGGUCUUGCUAUGUUGCCCAGGCUGGUCUCAGACUCCUGGGCUCAAAGGAUCUGCCUGCCUCAGCCUCCGGAAGUGCUGGGAUUACAGGUGUGAGCCACUGUACUCCGCCACAGGAGCGUGUGGCCGGGGACUCGUGCAUGCCAGGGAAGAGCACUGGCUUCCGGAUCCUCUGACUUCACCAUGUGACUUGGCCAGCAAUGACCCUGGGUUAGAGAUAGGUGGAGCGGAGGCAGGCAGUGGUCAGAGACCCCAGACAUGGGGUCCUGGCACCACAACUGUGAUUUUCCAUCACUUUAGAGGCACCAACAGGGGUCCCUCUGGAAACGUGGAGCAGAAUCAUCCAGGAUCCCGAAGAGGACUUUGUCCUCCUGCCCAUUUCCAGUUCCUCUCCCAUCUCCUCUGGUUUCCAGAAGCAGCACAUCCCCGGCCCCACCCCUCAUCUGUAUACGGAUCCUCCUAAUGCAGACCCAGGUGAUGGAAAACCCGUCUACAACGAACCAAGGCUGUUCGUGCUUUCAAAUAUUAAAUUCUGUUCAGAAUAUUAAAUAAUUUCAUCUUCAGUGAUCCCAGUAAAUUUAAUUAGCUCUUGUUCUCCCAAUAGAGUUGUCUCUUGGUUGCUGAAAUGUUGCAUUCUCAAGGAAGGAGGCCCACAUUCCUGC
rnacentral:lncRNA from 1 species